UCCACGACAUAUGCGAUCUUCCCGGACCGGGGCACGAACCCGUGUCCCCUGCAUCGGCAGGCGGACUCUCAACCACUGGGCCACCAGGGAAGCCCGGUUGUUUAUAUUCUUGAAAACUCCAUUAGACAGUGAGAACUGAGCAGCUGAGAUUCUCUUAUGGGACUGUAUGUAGACAUUCCCCGGGUUCCGAUUCAGGAUUUCCAAGCUUUCUGGGGUGGAUGGGUAAAUAGAUGUAUCAGCUGGAGCUUAGAAGCAUUCUCUGAGCCAGCCUCAAGAUGUGAAGGAGACAGGGCUUAUUUCAUUUAUGAAAUUGAAUCAUUCGUAGACUCAAGGACAAAAGUCUAACAAUGAAGAUGACUAACAUAAAAUUAUCACUGUCAGACUUACAUUAUAUCUGGAAGAACUGGAUUAUAAAAGCCAAGUCACGUGUUGUCAAAGGCCUGAGGUUUGCAAGGAAAUUCUCUCAAAAAGGCCCAUGCAAAAAAUGUCCUGAAGUAGAAUCUGAGACCUGGUAGCACAAAAGUGCCUUGAAUGUCCUUAACUGGCAGGGUGAAGACCAGGGGACAGAGGCAGUUUUAAAGUAGCCACAGCCCUUCAAUCACAUUCAGGAACUGGUGCUUCGAAAAAACAAACCACCAAAAAGAGUACAGAUAAAUGUCACAGCAAAUCAAGUUAAAACAUGGUAGCUGUAGCCACGUGAUUGAGUUCUGCCCAAAGGAUUGCAGAUACCAGGUGCGUAGUUCUUCUCCAGGCCCUGUUCUAACACCUCCCACAAAAUCCUCCACACCCUCUUUCUUCUCAUGAGUGGUUACUUACAGGAACCCGAAGAAGCACUUAAAGCUCUAGGGAAUUGUAGGCUUACGUCAGGGGUCAUCAAACUUCUUCUGUAAAGGGUCAGAUAAUAAAUAUUCUAGGGCUUUGAGGAUAUAUAAGGUUCCUGUUGCUGCUGCUACUGCUUCUACAACCCUUUAAAAAUGUAAAAGCUCUUCUUAGCUUCUAGAAUUGGGCUGGGUUUGACUUGGGGGCUGUAGUUUGUCAGCCCCUUCACAGAUAAAAAGGUCUUAGAUUUCGGAAUGCCUAUGUAAAGCACAGCCCUCUCCCCCCUACUGCCCCCGCCUCCUGAGUCUGCAACUGACUUACUUGGAUUAUGAUGGGAAUGAUAACUCUUACUGUGUUUCGCUUUCUCUGAACUAUAGCUAUGAGACUUUCUAUCUCAAAUGCAAUAAAGAGAUAACUAUUUGGGGAACUUGAACAAAGUGGAGCUCCAAUUUCAAGAAGUCGAGGUCCAUUCACCCCCAAAUAGUCUUCUUUACUAAAAAUGUUGCUUAUUCUGGAAGUAUCUUGUUUUCUACGCUGCUUUGUCUAGUCCUUGCCUAGGGAACCAUCGUGAUCAAACAAAUCUGCCUAGGCCAGAGCAGACUGCUUUAAAAUCACAGCUUUAAAAUCCAGCAGAAGAAGUUUCCAAGUUGGAGGAGGAUCAAGAGGAGAAUCUGGAAGAGUAAACAAAGAAAGAAGAUGUGCGCUUCACCACAUAAAUUGAAUCUGCAAAGCAUAUGGAAACCUCAGGUGUAUCUGACUCAUAAUAUUAAUAUUUUCUCUAAGAUCUACAAUCUCCCUCCUUCUCUUCUCCACUUUUCUGAAAUAACCCACAUCUGUGAAGUUUCUUCUUUUUUUAUAUUUCUCAGUCCCUACUGAUGCACAGAACUCACUAGUAUCGACAAGCCCAGGCAACCUUUGGUAGCAAGUCAGGGUGGCGUAAUGAAAUGUUUGGGGAAAAAACUCCCCACCGCAGUCUGGUUCACUCAAACAGCUUGCCAAGAUGAUGUGGUUCUCACGCAAAGAAAAAGUGCUCCUUCACCUGUACCAGCAAGUUGCUCCCCCUAAGACAGCAGACUGCAUUUGUUUUGACACUGACAAUAAGAGCAUGCCUUUGGGACAAUGGGUGGAAUCAGAGUUGAACUGAAGCCAACUCCAGUUUUUUAAGGAAAAAUUUUCAUGACACUUCCAGGUGGGCAGAUUCAA